AUACGGAGGGAGCAAGCGUUAUUCGGAAUCACUGGGCGUAAAGGACGCGUAGGCGGGUUUGUAAGUCAGGUGUGAAAUCCUACAGCUCAACUGUAGAACUGCACUUGAAACUACAGACCUAGAGUAUGGAAGGGGCAGAUGGAAUUAGUGGUGUAGGGGUAAAAUCCGUAGAUAUCACUAGGAAUACCGAAAGCGAAGGCGACCUGCUGGGACAUUACUGACGCUGAGGCGUGAAAGCGUGGGGAGCAAACAGGAUUAGAAACCCCAGUAGUCC
rnacentral:rRNA from 1 species